ACGCUCAGUUAAUGCU
rnacentral:misc_RNA from 2 species